GAGUUCAUGCCCUUCGGGGUAGAUCUCCCACCCUUUGUAUACCAUACCUCUGUUGCUUUGGCGGGCCGCCUAGCUACUGGCUUCGGCUGGUAAGUGCCCGCCAGAGGACCCAAAACCCUGAAUAUUAGUGUCGUCUGAGUAAAAUUUUAAUAAUUACAACUUUCAACAACGGAUCUCUUGGUUCU
rnacentral:misc_RNA from 1 species